rnacentral:rRNA from 1 species
GACGAACGCUGGCGGCGUGCUUAACACAUGCAAGUCGAACGGAAAGGCCCUGCUUUUGUGGGGUGCUCGAGUGGCGAACGGGUGAGUAACACGUGAGUAACCUGCCCUUGACUUUGGGAUAACUUCAGGAAACUGGGGCUAAUACCGGAUAGGAGCUCCUGCUGCAUGGUGGGAGUUGGAAAGUUUCGGCGGUUGGGGAUGGACUCGCGGCUUAUCAGCUUGUUGGUGGGGUAGUGGCUUACCAAGGCUUUGACGGGUAGCCGGCCUGAGAGGGUGACCGGCCACAUUGGGACUGAGAUACGGCCCAGACUCCUACGGGAGGCAGCAGUGGGGAAUAUUGCACAAUGGGCGGAAGCCUGAUGCAGCAACGCCGCGUGCGGGAUGACGGCCUUCGGGUUGUAAACCGCUUUCGCCUGUGACGAAGCGUGAGUGACGGUAAUGGGUAAAGAAGCACCGGCUAACUACGUGCCAGCAGCCGCGGUGAUACGUAGGGUGCGAGCGUUGUCCGGAUUUAUUGGGCGUAAAGGGCUCGUAGGUGGUUGAUCGCGUCGGAAGUGUAAUCUUGGGGCUUAACCCUGAGCGUGCUUUCGAUACGGGUUGACUUGAGGAAGGUAGGGGAGAAUGGAAUUCCUGGUGGAGCGGUGGAAUGCGCAGAUAUCAGGAGGAACACCAGUGGCGAAGGCGGUUCUCUGGGCCUUUCCUGACGCUGAGGAGCGAAAGCGUGGGGAGCGAACAGGCUUAGAUACCCUGGUAGUCCACGCUGUAAACGGUGGGUACUAGGUGUGGGGUCCAUUCCACGGGUUCCGUGCCGUAGCUAGCGCUUUAAGUACCCCGCCUGGGGAGUACGGCCGCAAGGCUAAAACUCAAAGGAAUUGACGGGGCCCCGCACAAGCGGCGGAGCAUGCGGAUUAAUUCGAUGCAACGCGUAGAACCUUACCUGGGUUUGACAUGGAUCGGGAGUGCUCAGAGAUGGGUGUGCCUCUUUUGGGGUCGGUUCACAGGUGGUGCAUGGCUGUCGUCAGCUCGUGUCGUGAGAUGUUGGGUUAAGUCCCGCAACGAGCGCAACCCUUGUUCACUGUUGCCAGCACGUUAUGGUGGGGACUCAGUGGAGACCGCCGGGGUCAACUCGGAGGAAGGUGGGGAUGACGUCAAGUCAUCAUGCCCCUUAUGUCCAGGGCUUCACGCAUGCUACAAUGGCUGGUACAGAGAGUGGCGAGCCUGUGAGGGUGAGCGAAUCUCGGAAAGCCGGUCUCAGUUCGGAUUGGGGUCUGCAACUCGACCUCAUGAAGUCGGAGUCGCUAGUAAUCGCAGAUCAGCAACGCUGCGGUGAAUACGUUCCCGGG